rnacentral:lncRNA from 1 species
CGCCCGCCCCGCUCCGCAGGGGCAGAGGGGGAGGGGACGAAGCUGUCCGCCGCCAUUUUGCUUGUGGGCUGCCGCCCGCCGUUACCUCUCCACCGCGGCUAGAAGACAGCCAACUGGAGGCAGAGCGGUGGACAGAAUCUCCGUCUAUUUCACAACAGAUGCAUUCAACAAUUCACCGAAGGAGACCUUCUCUAGUUUUCCUGCAUUGACAGACUUGGACUUUGGUGCUUAACAUCACUACCUCCUAGAUUCCCCAAGAGCCCAGUUACCUGAAGAAAGCACUGGGUGCUUCUGACUCCGUGAAUGCCUCUGGAGUCUUUGGUCUUGUAUGUAAU